GACGAUGCGUAGCCGACCUGAGAGGGUGAUCGGCCACACUGGGACUGAGACACGGCCCAGACUCCUACGGGAGGCAGCAGUAGGGAAUCUUCCGCAAUGGACGAAAGUCUGACGGAGCAACGCCGCGUGAGUGAUGAAGGUUUUCGGAUCGUAAAGCUCUGUUGUUAGGGAAGAACAAGUGCAAGAGUAACUGCUUGCACCUUGACGGUACCUAACCAGAAAGCCACGGCUAACUACGUGCCAGCAGCCGCG
rnacentral:rRNA from 1 species